rnacentral:rRNA from 1 species
UACAGAGGGUGCAAGCGUUAAUCGGAAUUACUGGGCGUAAAGCGCGCGUAGGCGGUUAUUUAAGUCGGGUGUGAAAGCCCCGGGCUCAACCUGGGAAUUGCAUCCGAUACUGAGUGACUAGAGUAUGAGAGAGGGAGGUAGAAUUCCACGUGUAGCGGUGAAAUGCGUAGAUAUGUGGAGGAAUACCGGUGGCGAAGGCGGCCUCCUGGCUUACUACUGACGCUGAGGUGCGAAAGCGUGGGGAUCAAACAGG